GAUGAAGAACGCAGUGAAAUGCGAUAAGUAAUGUGAAUUGUAGAAUUCAGUGAAUCAUCGAAUCUUUGAACGCACAUUGCGCCCCUUGGUAUUCCGAGGGGCAUGCCUGUUCGAGCGUCAUUAUAACCCCUCAAGCUCAGCUUGGUGUUGGGGCCUGCUGCACUGGCAGCCCUUAAAAUCAGUGGCGGCGCCAUCUGGCUCUAAGCGUAGUAAUUCUUCUCGCUAUGGAGUCCUGGUGGAUGCUUGCCAUCAACCCCCAAUUUUUCUAUGGUUGACCUCGGAUCAGGUAGGGAUACCCGCUGAACUUAAGCAUAUCAAUAAGCGGAGGA
rnacentral:misc_RNA from 1 species